AUUGAACGCUGGCGGCGUGCCUAACACAUGCAAGUCGAGCGGUAACAGGUGUAGCAAUACAUGCUGACGAGCGGCGGACGGGUGAGCAAUAUUUGGGAAUCUGCCUAUUAGUGGGGGAUAACCCGGGGAAACUCGGGCUAAUACCGCAUACGCUCUACGGAGGAAAGCCGGGGACCGCAAGGCCUGGCGCUAGUAGAUGAGCCCAAAUCGGAUUAGCUAGUUGGUGAGGAACGGCUCACCAAGGCGACGAUCCGUAGCUGGUUUGAGAGAACGACCAGCCACACCGGAACUGAGACACGGUCCGGACUCCUACGGGAGGCAGCAGUGGGGAAUAUUGGACAAUGGGCGAAAGCCUGAUCCAGCGACGCCGCGUGGGUGAAGAAGGCCUGCGGGUUGUAAAGCCCUUCGGUUGGGAAGAAAAGUAUUGGCCUAAUACGCUAGUACCUUGACGUAACCAACAAAAGAAGCACCGGCUAACUCUGUGCCAGCAGCCGCAGU
rnacentral:rRNA from 1 species